rnacentral:rRNA from 1 species
GACGAACGCUGGCGGCGUGCCUAAUACAUGCAAGUCGAGCGCAGGAAGCCGUCUGAACCCUUCGGGGGGACGACGGUGGAAUGAGCGGCGGACGGGUGAGUAACACGGAAAGAACCUGCCCAUAGGUCUGGGAUAACAACGAGAAAUCGGGGCUAAUACCGGAUGUGUCAUCGGACCGCAUGGUCCGCUGAUGAAAGGCGCUCCGGCGUCGCCCAUGGCUGGCUUUGCGGUGCAUUAGCUAGUUGGUGGGGUAACCGCCCACCAAGGCGACGAUGCAUAGCCGACCUGAGAGGGUGAUCGGCCCAACUGGGACUGAGACACGGCCCAGACUCCUACGGGAGGCAGCAGUAGGGAAUCUUCCACAAUGGACGAAAGUCUGAUGGAGCAACGCCGCGUGAACGAUGAAGGCUUUCGGGUCGUAAAGUUCUGUUGUAAGGGAAGAACAAGUGCCGCAGGCAAUGGCGGCACCUUGACGGUACCUUGCGAGAAAGCCACGGCUAACUACGUGCCAGCCGCCGCGGUAACAC